UGUGAAUUUCACUUCCUGACAUUUUCAGUGUGAGUGAACCCAGGGAGAGGCCAAGCAUAGUUUUUUGAGGAGUGAAACUUCCAGCAGCAAACCGCUUGGAUAAUUACUCAAGGUUUUCCCUACAGUAUUUUCUAAGGCAAUGUUGAACCAUCAGAAGGUGAAGUGGAAGUUUUCCUUUGGACCCUGCAGAAGCAAAUAUGAGAAUCCAACUGCUUCUAUUUAGGCAGGCACUGAAGAGAUAGCAAAAUGUAAGACAAUGCCAU
rnacentral:lncRNA from 1 species